rnacentral:lncRNA from 1 species
GGGGGGCGGUGGCCGGGGGGGGGGACCUCAAAAGCCAAGGACAGGAGCAGGGCCCCAGGGAAGGGCAGACGGGGAGGUGGUGGGGAAGACAGCCCGAACAGGAUCCCGGAGCUAUUCCUCGCCAAUCUCUCCUCAGCCGCUCUCCUGUGGGGUCUGAGCGGUUCGGAAAAGUAAGAAUUGGGAGGAGGGGCUGUUUCUUCCAACUUCUGGAUUUCUGGAUGUGUUUAACCACCAAACGGUAUGAGCAGUUAGGUUGUGAAUAUAACUGCAGAGGUUUAAUACAAGAGUUGAAGAGAAGAAAAGAUCCUGGAAUCAAAAUUUACAUGUUUGUUCCAUAAACAGAGUGCCUCCCUUCGUCUUAAAACAUUUUUAUUUUUAAAGAUUUUAUUUAUUUAUUUAUUUGUCAGAGAGAGCACGCACGAACAGGCAGAGUGGCAGGCAGAGGCGGAGAGAGAAGGCUCCCUGCUGAGCAAGGAGCCAGAUGUGGGACUCGAUCCUAGGACC